UUUGUGUCAUAUGUCACAGAAGCAGUGUAAUCAUGAAAUGAGCUGUUUCAAGUGUGAAUUUUGAUGAGAGCAGGGUCAUUUCUGCAUGCACAGACAUAGAUGUGUGGAAUGAUGAGGAUGGUUGAUAUGAAAUCUCAAUGAUAUUUAAGAAUUAUAGACUGAAAAAAAAAACCUGAGUCUGCACGAUAUGACCCCUUUAAACACACAAUGAAUUAUACCAACAGCCUCAAGCACUCAGUAUCUUAAAAAAAAACAACAAAAAGCAAACAAAUCAUACAAACUCAAAAAAAAAAAAAAAAAAAAAAUCUUUAUGGAGCACCAUAUGUCAAACACUUUUCUUCUGUUUCCCAGUUUGAAACUCCAAAGAAAGUGGCUCGACAAACAGUAAACAUAACAGAAAAAUACAGGUGAA